AGAAUCAACGCUGGCGGCGUGCCUAACACAUGCAAGUCGAACGCGAAAGCCCGCAAGGGUAAGUAGAGUGGCGCACGGGUGAGUAACACGUGGACAACCUGCCUUCGAGUGGGGAAUAACCUUCCGAAAGGAGGCUAAUACCGCAUAACACCUCGGGACACAAGUUCUGGGGUUGAAAAGAGCAAUUUGCUCGAAGAGGGGUCCGCGCCUGAUUAGCUAGUUGGUGAGGUAACGGCUCACCGAAGGCUUCGAUCAGUA
rnacentral:rRNA from 1 species